GCCGUGAGGUAAACAAGGAACGCGGACUUCGGCGACCUGGUGAAAUGUCGAGUUAUUCACUUGGGGUGACUUCAUCUUCAAGAAGUAAUCCUAAACCUGGCGCUCGGAGCUUUAAUUUGGGGGGUUAUGUUGGAGCCAGCCAAAAAUGUAUUUUUUUUUUGAAGGAUAUGACUGCUACACCAUUCAGCUGAGAGCCCCGAACCACAUCCAGGUUACUGUAUGGACCAGCAAGUCAUCUCAACACCAUCCAUUUCUCACAAGAUUUUAGGAAAUUUGUGGAGUUCGAACUGGUUUUGAACCUCCAAAAUGGAAGCUGUCUAGACGACGUGUUAGAGAGGACAAACGAAUGAUGCAUUUUUACAGUUCUAAAAUUUCAUAUACACAAAUGUUUCAAUUCCUUACUUUUAGUUGCAUAUAAUUCUUGAAUGUUACUACUGCUUGAAGCUUCAUGUUCUUAUCACAUAAUGCAUCUGUACAGUAUAUAAAUCGAUGAAAAGCUUGUUCUAUAUCACUUUACAUGUUGUUUUUAGUGCUCCGCAGUCUUUGUGUUGCUGUCUACUUUAUCAUCCGGGUAAUUCAAAAGCUCCU